GCCAACAAUCUAGCCCAAUAAUAAACUAAUAACAUCACUAAACUUCAACAAACUAACUAAACCAUUCUUGCAACCUAGUAAAGGAGAUUGAAAUUUUUUUAGGAGCUAUAUUUUAGUACCGUGAGGGAAAGAUGAAAUAAAAAUGAAACAAAUAUUAAGCACAAAAAAAUAGAGGCCUACUCUCGUACCUUUUGCAUCAUGGUUUAACUAGUCUAAUCAAGCAAAAAGACCUAAAGUUUGACCCCCCGAAACUAAGUGAGCUACUUCAAGGCAGCUUUUUGAGCCAACCCGUCUCUGUUGCAAAAGAGUGGGAAGACCUUCUAGUAGGGGUGACAGACCUACCGAACUUAGUGAUAGCUGGUUGCUUGAGAAAAGGAUCUUAGUCCAGCCUAAAAUUAUUUAAAUUUUUAUAAAUGCCAAUAUAAUUUUAGAGUAAUUCUAGCAGGGUACAGCCCGCUAGAAACAGGAUACAACCUAGACCUGAGGGUAACUAUUACUGUUAAGCGAUUAAGUAGGCCUAAAAGCAGCCACCUUUAAAACAGCGUCACAGAUUAAUCGCACCAUCAGUGUUAAUCCAUAAAACCUUACCGAACCCCACUUCUGUACCAAGCAAUUCUAUAUAACUAUAGAACUUUUCAUGUUAAAACUAGUAACAAGAAGACACUACUUCUCUUUAAUGUAAACUUACAUCAGAUAGGACUGACCACUGAUAAUUACACCUAAUGAACAUACAGUAGAAACACUACAAGAAAACCCUACUUUACCCUAUGUUAACCUAACACAAGAACAUUACAAGAAAGAUUAAAAGAAAAAGAAGGAACUCGGCAAAUUUUAACCCCGCCUGUUUACCAAAAACAUCGCCUCUUGAAUAACUAUAAGAGGUCCAGCCUGCCCAGUGACUCUGUUCAACGGCCGCGGUAUCCUAACCGUGCGAAGGUAGCGUAAUCACUUGUUCUUUAAAUGAGGACUAGUAUGAAUGGCACCACGAAGGUUAUACUGUCUCCUUUCUCUAAUCAGUGAAACUAAUCUUCCCGUGAAGAAGCGGGGAUAACUAUAUAAGACGAGAAGACCCUAUGGAGCUUUAAACACAUGUAACAACUGCCUCAGCCCCCUAGCAAUUUCAGAAAGCAAAUCAAUAUUUAGGCACUUUGAUUACAAGUUUUAGGUUGGGGUGACCGCGGAGAAAAAAUCAACCUCCACAAUGAAUGGGGACUCCCCCCUAAACCAUGGACUACAACCCUAAGAAUCAACAAAUUGACAUCUAUUGACCCAAUAAAUUUGAUCAACGAACCAAGUUACCCUAGGGAUAACAGCGCAAUCCACUUUGAGAGCCCUAUCGACAAGUGGGUUUACGACCUCGAUGUUGGAUCAGGGU
rnacentral:rRNA from 1 species